rnacentral:rRNA from 1 species
AGUGACCCCCCAGUUAAACGGCCGCGGUACCCUAACCGUGCGAAGGUAGCACAAUCACUUGUUCUUUAAAUUAGGACUAGAAUGAACGGCUUCACGAGAGCUAUACUGUCUCCCCUCUCUAAUCAGUGAAACUGAUCUCCUCGUGAAGAAGCGAGGAUACACCUAUAAGACGAGAAGACCCCAUGGAGCUUUAAACUUGUACCACCCCCCCCCAAAAACAUACCAAUAAUCAGAAAGAGAUGACUACAAGUCUUUCGGCUGGGGCGACCACGAAGAAAAACUUAACCUUCACGAUGAACGGAUAUCCUAAUCAAAGAGCCACAACUCAAAGAAUCAAUAAACUGACAUAUUGACCCAAAUAUUUGAUCAACGAACCAAGUUACCCUGGGGAUAACAGCGCAAUCCAUUUCAAGAGACCCCAUCAACAAAUGGGCUUACGACCUCGAUGUUGGAUCAGGGUAUCCCAGUGGUGCAGCCGCUACUAAAGGUUCGUUUGUUCAACGAUUAAAACCCUACGUGAUCUGAGUUCAGACCG